CAGGAAGUGGAUGUGAGACACUUUUGACACCGAGUUUGAGGAAACGUACAGAAGGAAGAGAAGUCACUGGAAUCUGAAAAACAGGAUGGAAAGAAUAAAAGCUGUGCUAAGGUAAUUCAUUGGUGCCUUCUUAGCAAUCUCUGAUUUUCCCAUUUAAGCCUGUAUUUCUUUUCUUUUUUUUCCAAAUAAAUUUUGUUGUAUAUAUUUAAGGUAUAAUAAUAAUAAUAAUAAUAAUUAUUAUUAUUAUUAUUAUUAUUAUGUUGAGAUGGAGUCUUGCUCUUGUCGCCCAGGUUGGAGUGCAAUGGCAUGAUCUCGGCUCACUGCAACCUCCGCCUCCCGAGUUCAAGGGAUCUCCUGCCUCAGCCUCCUGAGUGGCUGGGAUUACAAGCACCCGCCACCACGCCCAGCUAAUUUUUGUAUUUUUAGUAGAGACGGGGUUUUGCCAUGUUGGCCAGGCUGGUCUGGAACACCUGACCUCGUGAUCCACCCACCUCGGCCUCCCAAAGUGCUGGGAUUACAGGCGUGAGCCACCGUGCCCGGCCAAGGUAUACUUAUAAGAUACAAAUAGACAAUAAAAAGGUUAUUAUAGUGAAACGAAUUAAGAUAUCCAUCAUCUCACAUAAUUACCCACUUUUUUUUUGUUUUUGUGGCAAGAGCAGCUAAAAUCUACUAAUUUAACAUGAACCCCAAAUACAGUAAAAUGUUAUUCCCUAUAGUCCUCAUGUUGUACCUUAGAUCUCUGGACUUGCUCAUUCUGCUUUCAGUCCUUUAAUUACUAAAUUGUGAUCCUUGAAGUCUGAUUAUUUUACUUUAUAAAAAUUAUUUCAUAAAAUAAUCCUCGACUCAAUUCCUCAGCCACGGGAAAAAAUAAAGUAAUUCAUAGGUUUGGGGAUCGUUUUACUUUUUUGAGGCUAAUUUAUGUUAAUAGUAGGAAAUGCAGGGUUCCAGGAGCCUCAAACUCUAAUCUUAAAUAAGUCCCUAGUUCAGAUUGCCAUCUCAGGCUGGUGAGCCGUCCUCCCUACCCUUCAAUAAUCAAUCUGACAAUUUUAAGGACAAGGAUGCAGCAUCAUGGGAGGCCAAGAAAAUACUCAAAACAUUCCUAGAGACUUGAAAAUGAAACUGAUUAGAGUCAUACUAUAAAGAAAUUGAAAGGGGGUAAGAAACAAAUGGGUAAAUGAAAAGUGUUAUUUGCUGCUAAUAAGAAUUGACACGACUCUUCUCAGCUCUUCACUACCUCACAUUUUAGAAUCAUUACCAAAAAGUUCUUUCCCUCAAUAACCUUAUUGCUAUCAACUUUGAAAAAAAUCAGGAAACUAUGAGGAUAUAAAAUAUAUCAGAUAACACACUUGCUAUUUAUUUAUUUAUUAUUUUUGAGGCAGAGUCUCCUCCUGUCACCGAGGCUGGAGUGCAGUGGUAAGAUCUCUGAUCAUUGCAUCCUCCACCUCCCGGGUGGAAGCGAUUCUGCUGCCUCAGUCUCCUGAGUAGCCGGUGGCACGUGCCACCAUGCCCGGCUAAUUUUUGUAUUUUUAGUAGAAACGGGGUUUUUGCCAUGUUGACAAGGCUGGUCUCAAACUCCUGGCAUCACACACUUGCAAUUUAGAGGAGACUUUUCUACUUUCUAAUAAAGUAAUA
rnacentral:lncRNA from 10 species